GAUGAACGCUGGCGGCGUGCCUAAUACAUGCAAGUCGAGCGAAUGACGAGGAGCUUGCUCCUCUGAUUUAGCGGCGGACGGGUGAGUAACACGUGGGUAACCUGCCUGUAAGACGGGGAUAACUCCGGGAAACCGGAGCUAAUACCGGAUGAUAACGAGAAGCGCCUGCUUCUUUUUUGAAAGUCGGUUUCGGCUGACGCUUACAGAUGGGCCCGCGGCGCAUUAGCUAGUUGGUGAGGUAACGGCUCACCAAGGCGACGAUGCGUAGCCGACCUGAGAGGGGGAUCGGCCACGCUGGGACUGAGACACGGCCCAGACUCCUACGGGAGGCAGCAGUAGGGAAUCUUCGGCAAUGGACGAAAGUCUGACCGAGCAACGCCGCGUGAGCGAUGAAGGCCUUCGGGUCGUAAAGCUCUGUUGUCAGAGAAGAACAAGUACCGGAGUAACUGCCGGUACCUUGACGGUACUUGACCAGAAAGCCACGGCUAACUACGUGCCAGCCGCCGCGGUAAGAC
rnacentral:rRNA from 1 species